rnacentral:rRNA from 1 species
UACGUAGGGUGCGAGCGUUGUCCGGAAUUAUUGGGCGUAAAGGGCUCGUAGGCGGUUUGUCGCGUCGGGAGUGAAAACCUCGGGCUUAACUCGGGGCUUGCUUUCGAUACGGGCAGACUAGAGGUAUGCAGGGGAGAACGGAAUUCCUGGUGUAGCGGUGAAAUGCGCAGAUAUCGAGAGGAACACCGGUGGCGAAGGCGGCCCUCUGGACGGUGACUGACGCUGAGACGCGAAAGCGUGGGGAGCAAACAGG